GGACAGGGUCCAGACCUGAACUGUCCCAGGACUCCACUGCUGAGUCCACUGAAGGGAUGGCUGGCCCAAAGCGACCCAGCCAGUCAUUACGGCCCAAGUCAUCACUGGUGACUCCUGCUAAACACAAAGAGAGCAGCAAAUCUUAAGGGUGACAGUGUCUCCUGAAUUCUGCAACAUGAGGAUGGCCUCACUGAGUGGCUUCCCUCGCAGUGACACACCGUUGAUGGCAAGCAGUCGGUCUCCAACAUGAAUGGCUCCAGUGCGAUCAGCCAGUCCACCUGGUCAACACGUUUUGUUACUGUGGCAAACUAACUAUGUACUACUCACUCAUGAUGUUUGGAAGUGUCAUUAUCUAGUGUUAGUUAAAACUGGUAUUGAGCUAAAGGCAACCCUGACAAAGCUAAUCAUACCUAUAACAAAAAAUAAUGAAUAUAUAUUAAAAAAUCAGUGCUGGAGGUCAUAUUCUAGUCAGAUAUAUCACAUGCCAACAAUUGCUGCAAAAUAAAGGAGAAAAGUGAUCA